rnacentral:rRNA from 1 species
UACGUAGGGGGCGAGCGUUGUCCGGAUUUAUUGGGCGUAAAGAGCGUGUAGGCGGUUCGGUAAGUCUGCCGUGAAAACCUGAGGCUCAACCUCGGGCGUGCGGUGGAUACUGCCGGGCUAGAGGACGGUAGAGGCGAGUGGAAUUCCCGGUGUAGCGGUGAAAUGCGCAGAUAUCGGGAGGAACACCUAUGGCGAAGGCAGCUCGCUGGGACGUUACUGACGCUGAGACGCGAAAGCGUGGGGAGCAAACAGG